GUACUAAUGGAUAUCAUAUCCCCUUUGGGCACAAGAGGGAACUGGGACAUAGAGAGAAUAAAUAACUUGCCAAAAACCACACAGUAAGUGACAGUAUUGGGAUUGAAACCAAGGCAGUCUGGCUCCAGGGCUUUCAUUCUUAACUGCUGUGCAACACUAUCUGCUUAAAAGUUAAUAGGGAUUGACGAUUUAGUAGCUGCAAGGUUUUUCUUAAUCUGCACAACAACGUGGACAUUAUAUUAUCCUGUUUUUACUUAUGGGGAAACAAAAGUAUCAAAGAGAUCCACAAUAUUGCCCAAAUCGUAGAACCGAAAGAGUAGAAUCACAGUUUGGCUGCCCGACUCCAGAAAGUGGUCCUUAUAGCCGUCACUCUAUUGUCAUGCAUCAGGCCACUUCUAUUCACAAAUGACCCUUAUAUUCAUCUCUUCUCCCAGGUUUGGCAGGGAACUGGACAUGAGAGGAUGAGGCAACUAAUCAUGGAAAUAAUCAUCAUGAAAAGUUCAGUCUUGGUGGUGGUCUCUCCCUUCUCAGAAGGAACAGUUUUAGAUACUCCAAAUGGCUAUCAUGUUGCUUAGUUUGUCGUUGUGCUAUGCAUGUCAGAAAUUCCAGUCGAGGACUGUUCGAACUAUUCCUUCCACAGAGCUGUGCAAGGAGACGGAAGGUCCUCAGAAACCAGUGAAGCAGGAAGAAAGGUCAUGGCCACUUCCUCCACAGAUUCCUAGGAGCCUGAGAACAUAUAUUUAUUUUCACCGGAAGAAGAGGUUGAGUCUCUGACACCUGGCCCAGACAGAGAGGCCCACAAGUGACAGUUACCUGGGAGACUUCAUCUGCACAACAGGACAGUCCUUGCACUCUACGUGCCUCUUCCCCCAACCUUCUAUAAUCUGUGCCUCUUCCCCUCCCCAGAAGCCCAAAUCCUUCCUUUUGCUUUAGCUCUGUGUAAGUUUCCAGUAUCUAACCCUUCUUUGUGUCUGACUCCUGGUUUUCUGCAUGUUAAUAAAU
rnacentral:lncRNA from 1 species